rnacentral:tRNA from 1 species
UAGGCUGAGGUCCGCUGGAUUGGUCGCUUAGUUGUUAACUAAUAUGUUACGGGAUCGAGGCCCGUCGGCCUAGG